rnacentral:rRNA from 1 species
GACGAACGCUGGCGGCGUGCCUAAUACAUGCAAGUAGAACGCUGAAGAGAUGAGCUUGCUCUCCUUGGAUGAGUGGCGAACGGGUGAGUAACGCGUAGGUAACCUGCCUUGUAGCGGGGGAUAACUAUGGGAAACGAUAGCUAAUACCGCAUAACAAUGGAUGACACAUGUCAUUUAUUUGAAAGGGGCAAUUGCUCCACUACAAGAUGGACCUGCGUUGUAUUAGCUAGUAGGUGAGGUAAUGGCUCACCUAGGCGACGAUACAUAGCCGACCUGGGAGGGUGGUCGGCCACACUGGGACUGAGGCACGGCCCAGACUCCUACGGGAGGCCGCAGUAGGGAAUCUUCGGCAAUAGGGGCAACCCUGACCGAGCAACGCCGCGUGAGUGAAGAAGGUUUUCGGAUCGUAAAGCUCUGUUGUAAGUCAAGAACGGGUGUGAGAGUGGAAAGUUCACACUGUGACGGUAGCUUACCAGAAAGGGACGGCUAACUACGUG